AGAGUGGCCUGUGAACACCGGUCGGGCGAGCUGGCAGUUGGGAGUUUCCCUAGCGACUCAGUUCGGGUGGGCGUUGGGCGCCUGAGUCAGCCAAACAGCCUACUCGGGGUUCUUGGGUAGCCUUUGGGGUGAGGGGACUUGGGCGGCCUUGGUCUGUAAGCUCUGCGUUCCCGGGCGUGGAAGAGACUGGCCGCGCACAUGCGUUUCUGUGGAUUACCUGGGGAAACAGCUGGAGCAGUGGUCCUGGGCCGCCAGUCCGCGGUCAUCCCGGGAGCUUAAGAUGCGGAGUGGUGAUAGGCUCCGGAUGUAUGAGCCCUGUGGCUCAAGGGCGCUGUUCUCUCUGCUCCGAAAUAGAAAUAAUACCUGUCUCACAGAGCUGUUGAAAAGCUCCACUGAAAUAAUGACCGCAAGUGUGAACUGUAAAGCAAUGAGAGACGUGGCCGAUAGAAGCCGAGUGGCAGUAACUCUAAGUUGGAGUUACACGGUGGAGAAGGAAGCACUGACUCAGACUCGGCUCUUCCCUUUCUUCCUGCCCCAGCCACUCAAGCAGGUGCUUGGGUUCUAUGCUGAUGACCUUGUUGGAGAGAUGUGAUUGGUCAGAAAAGCAGCAACUGGGCUGGGCACGGUGGCUCACACCUGUAAUCCCAGCACUUUGGGAGGCCAAGGUGGACAGAUCAUUUGAGCCCAGGAGUUCAAGACCAGCUUGGGCAACAUGGCAAAACCCCCGUCUCUACAAAAAAAAACACAAAAACUAGCCAGGCAUUGUGGUAUGCCCCUGAAGUCCCAGCUACUUGGCAGGCUGAGGCAGGAGGACGGCUUAAGCCCAGAGGUGGAGAUUGCAGUGAACCGAGAUCACGACACUGUACUCCAGCCUGGGUGACAGAGCGAGACCCCAUCUCAAAAAAUAAAUAAAUAAAAGUAAUUAAAAAAAAGAAGGAAAGAAAAAAGAAAAGCAGCUGUUGCUCGCA
rnacentral:lncRNA from 1 species